rnacentral:rRNA from 1 species
UACGGAGGGUGCAAGCGUUAUUCGGAAUCACUGGGCGUAAAGCGCGCGUAGGCGGUUUGUUAAGUAGGAAGUGAAAGCCCAAGGCUCAACCUUGGAACUGCUUUCUAAACUGGCAAACUAGAGAUAGGUAGGGGAUGAUGGAAUUCCUAGUGUAGAGGUGAAAUUCGUAGAUAUUAGGAGGAACACCAGUGGCGAAGGCG